GGUUAAGUGACUAAGCGUACACGGUGGAUGCCUUGGCAGUCAGAGGCGAUGAAAGACGUAGUAACUUGCGAUAAGCCCAGAUUAGGUAGUAACAACCAUUUGAGUCUGGGAUUUCUGAAUGGGGAAACCCACUUACAUAAGUAAGUAUCAUUAACUGAAUACAUAGGUUAAUGAGGCGAACCGGGGGAACUGAAACAUCUAAGUACCCCGAGGAAAAGAAAUCAACCGAGAUUCCGAAAGUAGCGGCGAGCGAAAUUGGACUAGCCCUUAAGCUUUACACGCGUUAGACGAACGGUCUGGAAAGUCCGACGAUACAGGGUGAUAGUCCCGUAGUUGACGACGUGUGUUCAGUGAAAUCGAGUAGGGCGGGACACGUGAUAUCCUGUCUGAAUAUGGGGGGACCAUCCUCCAAGGCUAAAUACUACUGACUGACCGAUAGUGAACCAGUACCGUGAGGGAAAGGCGAAAAGAACCCCUGUGAGGGGAGUGAAAUAGAACCUGAAACCGUGUACGUACAAGCAGUAGGAGCAGGCUUUGUCCUGUGACUGCGUACCUUUUGUAUAAUGGGUCAGCGACUUAUAUUCAGUGGCAAGGUUAACCAUCUAGGGGAGCCGUAGGGAAACCGAGUCUUAACUGGGCGUUCAGUCUCUGGAUAUAGACCCGAAACCAGGUGAUCUAGCCAUGGGCAGGUUGAAGGUUGAGUAACAUCAACUGGAGGACCGAACCGACUAAUGUUGAAAAAUUAGCGGAUGACUUGUGGCUAGGGGUGAAAGGCCAAUCAAACCUGGAGAUAGCUGGUUCUCCCCGAAAGCUAUUUAGGUAGCGCCUCGGACGAAUACUACUGGGGGUAGAGCACUGUUAAGGCUAGGGGGUCAUCCCGACUUACCAACCCUUUGCAAACUCCGAAUACCAGUAAGUACUAUCCGGGAGACACACGGCGGGUGCUAACGUCCGUCGUGGAGAGGGAAACAACCCAGACCGCCAGCUAAGGUCCCAAAUUACUACUAAGUGGGAAACGAUGUGGGAAGGCUCAGACAGCCAGGAUGUUGGCUUAGAAGCAGCCAUCAUUUAAAGAAAGCGUAAUAGCUCACUGGUCGAGUCGGCCUGCGCGGAAGAUGUAACGGGGCUAAGUAGUAAACCGAAGCUGCGGCAAUAUACUUUUGUAUAUUGGGUAGGGGAGCGUUCUGUAAGCGGUUGAAGGUGUGUGGUAACGCAUGCUGGACGUAUCAGAAGUGCGAAUGCUGACAUGAGUAACGAUAAAGGGGGUGAAAAACCUCCUCGCCGGAAGACCAAGGGUUCCUGUCCAACGUUAAUCGGGGCAGGGUAAGUCGACCCCUAAGGCGAGGCCGAAAGGCGUAGUCGAUGGGAAACGGGUUAAUAUUCCCGUACUUCUUACAAUUGCGAUGGGGGGACGGAGAAGGCUAGGUGGGCCUGGCGACGGUUGUCCAGGUUCAAGUGCGUAGGCUUAAGAGUUAGGUAAAUCCGGCUCUUUUUAAGGCUGAGACACGACGUCGAGCACCUACGGGUGUGAAGUCAUUGAUGCCAUGCUUCCAGGAAAAGCCUCUAAGCUUCAGAUUGUAAGGAAUCGUACCCCAAACCGACACAGGUGGUCGGGUAGAGAAUACCAAGGCGCUUGAGAGAACUCGGGUGAAGGAACUAGGCAAAAUGGUACCGUAACUUCGGGAGAAGGUACGCUCUCGACGGUGAAGUCCCUCGCGGAUGGAGCUAUUGAGAGUCGCAGAUACCAGGUGGCUGCAACUGUUUAUUAAAAACACAGCACUGUGCAAAAUCGUAAGAUGACGUAUACGGUGUGACGCCUGCCCGGUGCCGGAAGGUUAAUUGAUGGGGUUAGACUUCGGUCGAAGCUCUUGAUCGAAGCCCCGGUAAACGGCGGCCGUAACUAUAACGGUCCUAAGGUAGCGAAAUUCCUUGUCGGGUAAGUUCCGACCUGCACGAAUGGCGUAAUGAUGGCCACGCUGUCUCCACCCGAGACUCAGUGAAAUUGAAAUCGCUGUGAAGAUGCAGUGUACCCGCGGCUAGACGGAAAGACCCCGUGAACCUUUACUACAGCUUGGCACUGAACAUUGACCCUACAUGUGUAGGAUAGGUGGGAGGCUUUGAAGCACGUACGCCAGUAUGUGUGGAGCCGUCCUUGAAAUACCACCCUUGUAGUGUUGAUGUUCUAACGUCGACCCCUAAUCGGGGUUGCGGACAGUGCCUGGUGGGUAGUUUGACUGGGGCGGUCUCCUCCCAAAGAGUAACGGAGGAGCACGAAGGUGGGCUAAUCACGGUUGGACAUCGUGAGGUUAGUGCAAUGGCAUAAGCCCGCUUGACUGCGAGAAUGACAAUUCGAGCAGGUGCGAAAGCAGGUCAUAGUGAUCCGGUGGUUCUGAAUGGAAGGGCCAUCGCUCAACGGAUAAAAGGUACUCCGGGGAUAACAGGCUGAUACCGCCCAAGAGUUCAUAUCGACGGCGGUGUUUGGCACCUCGAUGUCGGCUCAUCACAUCCUGGGGCUGAAGUCGGUCCCAAGGGUAUGGCUGUUCGCCAUUUAAAGUGGUACGCGAGCUGGGUUUAGAACGUCGUGAGACAGUUCGGUCCCUAUCUGCCGUGGGCGUUGGAAGAUUGAAGGGGGCUGCUCCUAGUACGAGAGGACCGGAGUGGACGAACCUCUGGUGUUCGGGUUGUGUCGCCAGACGCAUUGCCCGGUAGCUAAGUUCGGAAUCGAUAACCGCUGAAAGCAUCUAAGCGGGAAGCGAGCCCUGAGAUGAGUCUUCCCUGAUACUUUAAGUAUCCUAAAGGGUUGUCGGAGACUACGACGUUGAUAGGUCAGGUGUGUAAGUGCUGUGAGGCAUUGAGCUAACUGAUACUAAUUGCCCGUGAGGCUUAACCAU
rnacentral:rRNA from 1 species